GCACCCGUAGCUCAGCCCGGAUAGAGCAGUGCCGUCCUAAGGCGAAGGUCCGAGGUUCAAAUCCUCGCGGGUGCG
rnacentral:tRNA from 1 species